CCUACGGGAGGCAGCAGUGAGGAAUAUUGGUCAAUGGGCGCGAGCCUGAACCAGCCAAGUAGCGUGAAGGAUGACUGCCCUACGGGUUGUAACCUUCUUUUAUAAAGGAAUAAAGUGCGGCACGUGUCCCUUUUUGUGUGUCCUUUAUGAAUAAGGAUCGGCUAACUCCGUGACAGCAGCCGCGGUAAUACGGAGGAUCCGAGCGUUAUCCGGAUUUAUUGGGUUUAAAGGGAGCGUAGAUGGGUUGUUAAGUCAGUUGUGAAAGUUUGGGGCUCAACCUUAAAAUUGCAAUUGAUACUGGCAGUCUUGAGUACAGUUGAGGUAGGCGGAAUUCGUGGUGUAGCGGUGAAAUGCGUAGAUAUCACGAAGAACACCGAUGGCGAAGGCAGCUUGCUAAACUGCCACUGACGUUGAUGCUCGAAAGUGUGGGGAUCAAACAGGAUUAGAUACCCGAGUAGUC
rnacentral:rRNA from 1 species